UACGGGGGGGGCAAGCGUUGUUCGGAAUUACUGGGCGUAAAGGGCUCGUAGGCGGCCAACUAAGUCAGAGUGAAAAUCCCUCGGCUUAACCGGGGAACUGCGUCUGAUACUGGAUGGCUUGAGGUUGGGAGAGGGAUGCGGAAUUCCAGGUGUAGCGGUGAAAUGCGUAGAUAUCUGGAGGAACACCGGUGGCGAAGGCGGCAUCCUGGACCAAUUCUGACGCUGAGGAGCGAAAGCCAGGGGAGCCAAACGGG
rnacentral:rRNA from 1 species